UACGUAGGUGGCAAGCGUUGUCCGGAUUUAUUGGGUUUAAAGGGUGCGUAGGUGGCCCUGUAAGUCAGUGGUGAAAUAUCUCAGCUUAACUGAGAGGGUGCCAUUGAUACUGCAGGGCUUGAGUACAGAUGAGGUAGGCGGAAUUGACGGUGUAGCGGUGAAAUGCAUAGAUAUCGUCAAGAACACCGAUAGCGAAGGCAGCUUACCAAGCUGUAACUGACACUGAGGCACGAAAGCGUGGGGAGCAAACAGG
rnacentral:rRNA from 1 species